UAUCAGCCAAUGCGGAGAAUCGCCCUCAGCUGAAGAGAGUCUUCUGGACCAAGGUCAUACCCACUCCCACGGGCAGCCAGUAUCCAACGGCUAGUCCUUGUGUGUGUGUGUAAAGGCUUGGCUCCCUCGUCUCAGUUUGAAAAACCCUGAAAGGAUAUCACAGCCUCAGGGGUCUCCAAGGGGUCGGCUGAAGCCUUGGCCGUGCCCGUGUCACAGCCCGACUCCUCCCUCUGCUCAAUCCAGCCGGUACCCCUUUCCACAGGUGUGGAUCCUGCACGCUGACCUCCAGCUUGGAGUCUGCUUCCUGCGGUGCCCAAACGUCAGUAGACCCUACAAAUUCAAGCAGAAGAGUCCUGUGUCCCCAAGCCUAAGGAGCUGCCCUAUCAGCCCUGGAGUGUUUUGUGAGAACGAUGCUGCUCCUCCAUUCAAGCUGUGACUACUGGUGGUCUCUGUCACUGCGUCACCAUCCGUAUCCUCAGCGGUUGUGGACGCCUCGGAGAGACAACUUGCGCUGGGCAGAUUCUAGGAAUCCUGAGCCGGGCACCUGCAUUGGAGGAAAAAGGGACAGGCAGAUCUGGCGAGGUUCCUGAUCCAUCUGAAUACCUAACUGCUGUUUGUGAGAUGUGAUGUCACAUGGAUACACCCUGGGGUAUAAGCCAAAUACCUGAGUUUGAGUCCUGGCUCCUCAUGCGUGCACUGGGAGACCUUGGGUAAGGCAACCCGUCUCUCAGCACAACCAGUGAAAUACGGGAGGCGGGGGUGAAUAAAAAUAUCUAAUCCCAAGUAAAACAGCAUUAGGAGAUUUAAGAGAGACCACUCAUGUGUGAGUGCUUUGUAAACUGUAAAGCAUCACAUCAGGGGGAGGCAUUAGACACUUCCCGAGGGCAGAGGACCGUCUUAUAUUACCCUUUAUCCCCAGCCCUGACACGGUGACUACAUCGCCGUGGACGCUCAAAUAACAUGUGCUGGUUGAAUGGAUGAACAGGUGGAUGUAGAGAGUCAUGGAGGGAAGGGCAGAUUGGAAACGUGCCUGUUAGAUUAAGGGUGUCAGAGGAUGAGGCUAGAGAGGGAGCAGGAGGAGUAGGUCCUUGAAAGGAGUUUGGGGCUUUUGUCUCAUCUGUCAGGAAGGCAGCUAAUGCAUCCGUCACCAGCUGGCCGCCUGGGCAGCCCGGCUCCCCUUGGGCCCAGCUGCCAGGCCCUGGGCCAUCUGAGGCCUGGGCGACUGCUCCAGAGCAGGGGGGCCGACAGCUUCUGCCGUCACAGGCAGGCUGGUGACUUGUGUGGAAUGCCCUGUCUCUCGUGCCUCCUUUUGGAGCCUAAGUCCCUGGUGACAGUAAACAUAGCAGCCUCAGGGCCUGACACUGAGCUGCCUUGGGUCUUGGCAGGGCAGGGCCGAGGGGACCUGUAUCCCAUGGUUAGAAAUAUAAAUAAAAACAGGACAGGUAAAUAUAGGCAUUCGUGUAGGAAAUCUAGAUCCCAAGACUAUUUUUUCCUGACCUAGUUAUUUUUGUUUGUUUGUUUGUCUGGGACAGAAUUACUUGGGAAAUUUAAUUGCUUUACCUGAUUGUUAAAGACUUGAUAGAAUGGAUCUAAUAUUAUUAUUUAAAUAGAAUAAGAAUAGCUAUGAUUUUGUCAGUGCUUACUACAUGCCAACGUAGGUUUUGUACUUGAGUGCAUAGACGUAAUCUUAGUACUAAAGGUAAGCAUUAACCCUGUAGGAUCAUAUCAGACAACUCUGUAAGGUAAAUAUUAGCAUAUACUCAUUUUACAGAUGAAGGACCUGAGCUCUAAUCUUUAAUUGCUUACUGGGGUCAUAGAGCUGGCAGAUGAAAGAGCUGGAACUCAAGUUAUCCAUCCAUCCAUUUGUUCAUUCCACGCAUAACUACUGAGCACCUAUCAUAUUCCCGGCAUUGAGGAUUUAUGAGAGCAUCAUAUACAUAAAAGUCCCUGGUUUUCCAGACAAACACAACAAAUAAAUAGAAUGUGUAACAGAUGACAUGCCAGUAAGUGCAAUGGUGAAGAAUGAAACAGGUAAAGGGGUAAGUAGCACCAGUGUUGGGAUGGAGGAGGAGAGGGUGGGCUGCAACUUUAAACAGGAUGGCCAGGAAAGACCCCAUGUUGCUUUGACAUCUAAGCAAAGAGUUGAAUAUGCUGGGUUGCCGAGCUGCUGGAUUAGAGAGUAGAACUUUGAUGACUUUGAACUUUGUCCCACGGGGCAAGUUGAAAAAUUAUAGUCCAUGGAAGAUUUCUAUGGAUUCACUUUUCCCUUAAGUUCUUUCUCUCUUUCCUGGGCUCUGCAUUUCUAGAGUAAGAAAUAAGAAGGUAAACUAGGGAGGGGGUAAAUUUAGUAAAAUCCAUCCAUCCAUCCGUCUGUCCAUCCGUCCAUCCAUCCAUCCAUCCAUUCAUCCAUCCAUUUAUACAUCU